rnacentral:rRNA from 1 species
AUUGAACGCUGGCGGAAUGCUUUACACAUGCAAGUCGAACGGUAGAGGGGGCAACCCCUCGAGAGUGGCGAACGGGUGAGUAAUAUAUCGGAACGCGCCCAGUCGUGGGGGAUAACGUAGCGAAAGUUACGCUAAUACCGCAUACGAUCUAAGGAUGAAAGCGGGGGAUCGCAAGACCUCGCGCGAUUGGAGCGGCCGAUAUCAGAUUAGGUAGUUGGGGGGGUAAAGGCUCACCAAGCCAACGAUCUGUAGCUGGUCUGAGAGGACGACCAGCCACACUGGAACUGAGACACGGUCCAGACUCCUACGGGAGGCAGCAGUGGGGAAUUUUGGACAAUGGACGCAAGUCUGAUCAGCCAUUCCGCGUGCAGGAUGAAGGCCCUCGGGUUGUAAACUGCUUUUGUACGGAACGAAAAGGUCUCUCUUAAUACGGGGGACUCAUGACGGUACCGUAAGAAUAAGCACCGGCUAACUACGUGCCAGCAGCCGCAGUAA